rnacentral:ncRNA from 1 species
UGUCUCCUUCGGGGCAGGGUGAGGUUGCCGGUGCGGCGGUAGCCGGAGGCGGCGACCAAUUCCCGACCGGCGGUGAUGCGUGGCGCCCCUGGCGUCACGACGAGCCCGCGAGCCACCGGGCCGGCUUCUCCGAUGCCGCCCGGGGCAGGAGCCGGUGCGAUCCCGGCGCCGACGGUACAGUCCGGAUGGGAGAAGGAGGCA